ACAAAAAUCGGUACGCCGCCCCUCCUCUCGAUCCAUCCCCUCUGGGUGCGUUUUCUCUUUCCCUCGUCUCCCACUCCGCCGCCGCCGCUGCAUCUCCCACUCCGCCGCUGCCCGUACUGCUCCACCGGACGGGCCUCUUCUUCGAGCGCGGCGGCAGGAGCAGCUCCACCUCUCCACUCCCCCACGCGAGAACGCUCCUAACCCCACCAACAUGCCCGGCCGCCACUAGGGUUUCUUACCCUCUCUGCCCCGCCGCCACCUCUCCUCACUUUUCCCCACCGCCGUCUGGAGCUACUUCGUCGACAGCGUCAAUGGGGGCUUUCGCGAGACCUCCUGGCCUUCUGCCACCGCCGCCGAGUUCGUCCCCCAGGCUGACAUACUGCGAUCGGGACGCCGUCGGAUCCUCUGUCGCGGGCCCACGUCCCAGUCCUCUCCUUCCUCUCACAGUUCAUGUAGCCCCUACAUCCUCCCCUGAUUGUCCAGCCUCCACACGCGAAGCCACCGAGGCAGGAAUCGGAAGUGCCAGUCUGUGCAUCGUGUUCUCACGCCAACCCCAAGGUCGUCUUGCUGCCCUGUUGCAAGAAUUAUGUGUAUCUUUUCAGUAUCAGUCUGACAGAUUCAUGUGUAUCUUUUCAGUAUUCAAAAUUAGGCAAUUCAAGUGAUACAUAUAUUGUUUGGAAUUUCGUUGCUAGGCCAUGAUCGGUUCAAUUUAUCCAUCAUUUAAUGUUUUCAUUUUUCAAGAUGUACAGUAGUUACUUCUAUGGAAUUGUACUAACAAGAUUAUAUUCAGCUUCGUUAAUGUCCAGAUGCAAGUUGAUGAAUGACUGUUCAUUUUACUUGAGAAGAACUAAUUCACAUGUUCAAGAACAACUGCAGGAGUAUAAUUUCAUAAGCCUUUGUACUGAAUGCAACAUCCACGUGAUGAAUUACAGUUUAUUUGGAUGGUACUAUCUCUAUUUUUGGUGAUGUCGAUAAAAGGAUAAAUACAUUUUCUCUCAAUAUUUUAUUUGCAUCUUGUCGUCGUCGAAUUGGAGGCGUAAAUGUAUUUUCUUUAGGUAACUCGAAGCCCAGACCAACAUAAAGUGUACUGCGUUCAAGCUAAAAUUCUUUGCAUAAAAUAGUGUGAACCAAAUAAUCCUAGGUAUCUUGAUAUAAUGGUUUCUGAAGGCUUGGAAAUCACACAACUUGCCUUGGACGCUUAUUAACUUAUAGUAUUAUAAACUGUCAUUGUAAAGGUGGUUGCCUGUCAUUGUAAAGGUGGUUGCCUCUGUACCGAAUUGCUCCUCAAUUUUGUAGAUUCGAGCUGUUGUUUAUGCUCAUAGGACUACUAGAGAAGAUUUACAUGUAGCCUGAGAAGAAGACUGAUAAAGAUCUUGAUUGUAUCAGGCUAUGAUUUGGAGAGGUCGCUCUUAAUUUUAUUUGCAUGUGCCACUGGAUGUGUACAUGUACUUUAGUCGGAAUGUGUGCAUCAUCUAAUUUUGACUCAAUCUAGGUAGAAAGAAAAUGCAUCCAACCAAAGGGAACAUCAUAUAUUGUUUGUUGCCAAUGUACGAUACCUAGGCCUGAACACUAACCUAAGGUUCAUGUUUCUCCUUAGCUUAUUUUAAGAGGAACCGGGCAUGUUUGCUUCUGUCUUUCUUCAUUGGCUAACAAGCAAAUUUUCUAGCUUUCACAAACUCUUCUUGUUGCAGUGGAUGAGUUGGAUAUGCCAUUCCUCAAUGUGUACCUGGAUUAUCUUUGGGCACCUAAUUUUUGGAAAGGAGUACUCUGAAGUGAAUUCAUGCUAUGUUAACAGUCUAACAAACAUCUUGGAGGUGUGAAUGCUUUCUUGGGUCUGACAAGUAAUCAAUAAUUGAUGGUAUACUGGGAUUUUUCUCAUACUUCUAGCACUUCCUCAUUGACAAUAAAGCAAGUACUAUCACAACAAAGGCUGUUACCUCCAGUUGUAUACCCCAAGAAAUGGUCUGCUUUCAUGGGGCUUAUUGAAUCCAGGAAAUAACUGUGAGUAGUAGCGAACCAGACAUGAAAAGUUUCAGAGAACUACGAAAACUCUGGUCAGUUUUGUCGGGAUCUUGUGACACAGUUCCAGGACUCUAUUGACUAAGCCUCUUUCAGUUAGUACAAUGAUCAAGGAUCUCAUUUGAGUAUGGGUUUGCACAUCUGAGUGCUGGUGAUCUUCUUCGUGAAGAAGUUAAAGUGAUAUGGAGCAGAUUAAAAUUGACCAUGAGUUCGUACUAUUAAUUGAAGGCUCAAGGGAAGAGACAGCGGCAUAUUCUUCGUUGAAAUCAGGAAUGAAUUCCACUCGUUAUGCAAUACCACUAUGAGAAAAGUAGGGAAAUGCUGGACCUCUGCAAAAUGUGCUCGUUCACCUCGCGGUCUCACCCCCAAAACAGAGGAGAGGAGCAGGGAGCUCCUCUCUCACACUCGUCGGCUCCAAGGAGCUCCGCCGCCACAUAGGGCAAACCAAGGCUGCAACGUUUGAAUAUUAUACUCAGUCAGUUGCUCGACUACUUACAGUCCUAUUACUUGAGACUUAAUACUCGGUCAGCUGCCGUGUACAUUGUUCUGACAUAAAUGACACCAUGUCUAUGCGCAAGUCAGAAGGAACUUACCAUCUAAUAUGUCUAAUUAGUGUGGUACAUGCUUCAGUACUGCAAGUUGGAGUAGCAAGUAAGUAUACAUCAAAAGAAAGUACUGCUUCAGUACUACUCCCUCCGUUCCAAAAUAGAUGACUCGACUUUGAGUUAGUACAAAGUCGAGUCAUCUAUUUUGGAACGGAGGGAGUACAUGCUUAGUACUGACCAUCUAAAAAGAUGUCUAAUUAGUGUGCACGAAUCAGGUUAAACCCGCAUGCCUACCUGCACAUUGAUACUCAUACCUGGCUGUGAUAGAAGUUUCAUCUUGAGAUUCAAUUCUUUGAUUUAUGAUGCCCAUUCAUAUGCACAAUGAGAACAUAUAUCCUUCUUACUAAUCUCUGUUUUUUUAAGUUGAAACUAUUUCUUUGUUACUUCAUGUAUGUGAAGUGCAAUCAUAGUCUGUCACAAACUUGUUUGAGGAUGGCAAAAGACUGACCUUUUGCGGGGCAGAGAAAAGACCGGCUUAUUUUAUUUUAACACAACAUAGCAAGCUCCAUAUAUUUCAGUUAGUACAUGGCAGGAUGCAGACUAUGUGCAGUAUUAGUGGUGUAUGGUUAGACUCCAAAAUUGCAGUAUUAGUGGUGUUUUAAAGAGAAAGGUUCGUAAAUGAUGUUGUUUUCUACUAAGAAAUUUCAGUAGUCGGUGUAACCAUUGAGUGCCAAUGUGAUGGGCAUUUAAGAUUUAGAUUCAGAACUGUGGGGUUCAGCACAGAUGGCUUCACUUCAAUAUUUUUCCCCAUGUGGUUGCUGGAUGCAUACAUAUCUAUGUACGCUGGUACAUAUCCAUCCAUUCAACUUCAGUUUUGAUGCAUCUUGUAUAAUGAAUCCUACAUUAUGUGGAGAAAUUUAGACAUAUAAGAGUAUCUGUAAGCCAACCACAUACCACACAUUUUAAAGGCUUAUUUUCUCUACAUCUAUACUAGCUUGAACCAAGUAUUUCUAUUUUCUUUUUAUUUGUUGCCAAAAUUGAAGGAAUGUCGAUAUGGUGUAUUUUUACAACAAUCAGCGUGUUGACUUGGAGCUUGUCCAUUUGCGACGCACUUCUUAUUCUUGGAUUAAGCCUAAUGCUUGCUCUACCAAUCAUGUAGUACUGUUGUGAACUCAUAGGUGAAACCAUUCUCUAUCCAAUACAGAGUUAGCAUAGCUGAGCAUGAUUAGGAGGGAAGGAUUAUUUGGAUUGCUUUACGUAGACUGGCAUGGCUGAUCUUCCCUUCCAUUAUUAUUGCUACUUUAUGUUUUAAUUCCAUUGUUCUUCACUUGAUCUUGGGAUCUAUGUUCCAGUGACUUCCUGAACUUUUACUUGCUGAUGAGAAGUUUCUAUUUUAUUUUUUCUUUCACUUGAUCUUUAGGUUUACAGGGUUAAUGGAUCCAUGUUUCAGCGACUUUGUAGAAGUGUGUUUACUUAUCUUGCUUUUGUUGCUACCGCUGGUGAAGACAAACUCCAGAAAAGGGAGUGAAAUAAGAAAGACGAGAGGUUGCACAAGAUGAGUAAUGCUGGGUAGCGGUAGAGGCUGAAACUGUGAUGAUGAUGCGUAUCUGACCAUUAAUGUACAAUACGCCAUCAUCUCUCGGAGUAUGCGGGGAAGUUUAGAAAAGAUGCAGCAAUGGUGUGGUCAGAGAUAAUAAAAAUUGAUGGCUUCGGAUGAUGCUUUGAAAAUUUCGAUUGACAAAGUCGCAGAUGUAACUAUGAGCGAUUGGACUCAAAAGUCAUCCAAUUUUACACAAUGAGAUGCAUACAAAUAAUUAUUCUUUCCUUGUAUAUAUGUUGCACAUGAUAAUACUUUUUUUCGAGGGGUAUAUGAUAGAGA